ACACAAAAACAAACUCAAAUUAGUUGUGCAAAAAUAUCUACCAUACUACCAUAGCUCACCACUCAUGCCUUCUGCUCUUUUCCUCCAAUUUUUCUCUUACAAUCCCAUUGCUUCCUCUUUAAAUCCAGCAACCAACAAAAGUAGCUUAAACAAUGCCCAAAAUCCUAAAUUUGCCACCAACAAAAACACAGAAUUCACACUCUUAUCAGUCCCAAAUUCCCAAUCCAAUGCCCCCAUUAAAGUGCCAACAGCUCCAUGGAUGAAGGGUCCACUCCUUCUCCAACUUCAUGAAUUAAUUAAUCUUUCAAAACCCAGAAACAAAAACUCUUCAAAUAAUGCAAAUAUUGAAAAAUCUGACAAGGUAUUGACAGGUAAAGAAAGUGGAGUAAGAGGGAAAAAAGCAAUGGAAAAGAUUGUUAAGAGCAUUGAACAACUGCAAGAGAAUCAAGCUCUAGAGAAAACCCAAUGUGAUUCUCAGGCUUAUGAGAAAACCCAACUCGAUUCUGAGGCUUUUGAGAUAGGAGAAAAGUUGGGUCUGAUUAGAGAACAUGGGGAUUUUGGUGUUAAUAAAAAGUUGAAACCUUGGGAGAGAGAAGAGAAGUUUGUGUAUUGGAGAAUAAAGAAGGAGAAGGCUGUAACUAAGGCUGAGUUGAUUCUUGAAAAGGAGUUGCUUGAGAGAUUAAGAACUGAGGCUUCAAAAAUGAGGAAAUGGGUGAAGGUGAUGAAAGCUGGGGUGACACAGAGUGUAGUUGAUCAGAUAAGAUAUGCUUGGAGAAACAAUGAGCUUGCAAUGGUUAAAUUUGAUCUUCCUUUGUGUCGGAAUAUGGACAGAGCAAGAGAAAUUGUGGAGCUGAAGACUGGAGGCUUGGUUGUUUGGACUAGGAAAGAUUCCCUUGUUAUAUAUAGAGGAUGCAAUUAUCAUUUGACAAAAAGUUCUCAUGUCAGUACCAUGGAUGAAAAAAUUGGCAGCAAGGACGGGGAAGAGGAAUAUAUACCAACCAGCAUCUUUAUAGGAGACGAUGCUAAUACUCCAACAAUUAAUGGAUCUUUGUUUGAGAGAGAAACUGAUAGGUUACUGGAUGGCCUGGGACCUCGUUUUGUUGACUGGUGGAUGCGAAAGCCUCUGCCAGUAGAUGCAGAUUUGCUUCCAGAAGUGGUUGCUGGUUUUAUGCCUCCAUCAAGGUUUCAUUAUGCUAGGGCAAAGCUGAAAGACGACGAGUUGACGUACUUGAGGAAGCUUGCUUAUGCUCUACCUACUCAUUUUGUCCUUGGGAGGAACAGAAGACUUCAAGGGUUAGCUGCUGCUAUCUUAAAAUUGUGGGAAAGGAGUCUUAUAGCUAAGAUUGCUGUAAAGUGGGGAAUUCCAAAUACUGACAAUGAGCAAAUGGCAAAUGAGCUGAAGCAUCUUACAGGAGGAGUUUUAUUGCUCCGUAAUAAGUUCUUUAUAAUACUUUUUAGAGGCAAAGAUUUUCUUCCUUGCCAAGUUGCAGAUUUGGUAGUGAAGAGGGAAAAUGAGCUUAAAAUAUGCCAGCUGAAUGAAGAAGGUGCAAGGUUGAAGGCAAUUGAAACAUCUUUUACGGACGAUGAACUAGUGGUAAAAGCUACCAAAAUUGGAACUUUAAAUGAAUUCCAGGAUAUACAAGUCAGAUUUAAGGAGCUUGCAAAAGGAUAUAGGGACUCUAAACUUCAGUUAGAAGCUGAAAAGGAAAAAUUAGAGAGAGAACUGAGAAUCCAAGAGCACAAGCUUCUUAUUCUUAAAAGCAAGAUAGAGAAGUCAGCUAGGGAGUUGUCAAAGUUGAAUUCUGCCUGGGCGCCAGCUGACCAGGAUGCCGACCUGGAAAUGAUGACAGAAGAAGAGAGAGAAUGCCUAAGAAAGAUAGGACUGAAGAUGCGUAGUAGCUUACUGCUUGGUAGGCGUGGGGUUUUUGAUGGUGUUAUAGAAGGUUUACAUCAGCACUGGAAACACAGAGAAGUGGUCAAGGUGAUAUCUCUGCAGAGAAUGUUUGCACAGGUCAUUCGUACUGCGAAAUUUCUUGAAGCAGAAACUGGUGGAAUUUUGGUAUCAAUAGACAAGCUGAAAGAAGGUCAUGCAAUAAUAAUUUACCGUGGAAAAAAUUAUAGACGUCCCCAAAGGCUUCUCAAUAAUCUUUUGACUAAAAGAAAGGCAUUAUGUAGAUCUCUUGAAAUGCAGAGGAUUGGAUCGUUGAGGUUCUUUGCAUAUCAGAGGCAGCAUUCAAUCAGAGAAUUGAAAUUCCAAUUGGCACAGCUUCAGGAAUCUGAGGAAAGAACAUGAAAAAGCUAUAAACUACAUCUGGAUACAAAUGACUGAUAAGAGCAGCAGCAAGUGAAUCCAUUCUUUCCUCAAUGUCCAAAUGAUUCAUGAUAUCUAACAUAAACUUUGUCUACAGUUCAUUGUAACACAAACCAGAGUCUAGAGCCGUAACCAAAUCGACUGACUCAUUCUGUACACCUUAGGUUGACACACAUGAACAUUGAUACUGUUACUGCGCAUUCUCAAGCAAGCACCCACUGCAACUGCAGCAAAAUCACUCAUUGCAUAGUCACCAGUGCUACUGGUGCCAUUUGUAGCACAACUGAACUGACUGCUGGAAAGCUCCAGUAGUGAGGGGAGAUCAUAGUAUACUGAGAGGCUUUCACUAUCUGAAGCAUCCUAAAAUGAAAUCAAGGUAUUAUUGACAAAGCUUGCUGGGAAGCCAAUAUUGCACAAACCUGCUUUUACAGUUGUCAGAGUCUGUAAUCUGAUGUUGAUUCAAUAACUCGGUUCCAUCAAGGUAGUGAUUCCAAGAACUAUAAUAUGCUGUUGAUUUCAAGAAUUCAGCAAGUUUUCUAUUUGCUAACAGAAGACAUCCAAUAUUUCAAAAGCAAGUGCUACAACUCAUUUCUACAAGACAGUGGAGAUGGGAAUGCGACCAAAUGAAACUACGUUACAUGAGAAAAUGGUUUUUCUUUGAAGGAAAAGAGAACAAGGAAAAAAGAUGAGAACUGCUAAACAAUUUAGUUCCAAGCCAGAAUCAUGUGUCUAUUUCUAAAUCAUUUGACACCCAAUGUAUUUUACACUCAACUGGUAUUUUUUGUAAACUGAUGCUAGUAAAUUUGUCCCAUUCAGAAAGGAAGCCACUGCUCUAUGAUUUAGUAGUUGUUCUAAGAUCAA